rnacentral:rRNA from 1 species
AGUGAACGCUGGCGGUAGGCCUAACACAUGCAAGUCGAACGGCAGCACAGUAAGAGCUUGCUCUUACGGGUGGCGAGUGGCGGACGGGUGAGGAAUACAUCGGAAUCUACUUUUUCGUGGGGGAUAACGUAGGGAAACUUACGCUAAUACCGCAUACGACCUACGGGUGAAAGCAGGGGAUCUUCGGACCUUGCGCGAUUGAAUGAGCCGAUGUCGGAUUAGCUAGUUGGCGGGGUAAAGGCCCACCAAGGCGACGAUCCGUAGCUGGUCUGAGAGGAUGAUCCGCCACACUGGAACUGAGACACGGUCCAGACUCCUACGGGAGGCAGCAGUGGGGAAUAUUGGACAAUGGGCGCAAGCCUGAUCCAGCCAUACCGCGUGGGUGAAGAAGGCCUUCGGGCUGUAAAGCCCUUUUGUUGGGAAAGAAAAGCAGCAGGUUAAUACCCCGCUGUUCUGACGGUACCCAAAGAAUAAGCACCGGCUAACUUCGUG